GGGGAAGAGUGGCAUGGACGUGUUACUGCUCUCUCUGUUGCACCAAAUUUCAGCAGCUGGGUUUGGCUGCUAAAUUGAUGGAACUACUGGGAGAAAUUUCAGAAAACUGAGGUGGAUUUUUCAUCAAUUUCUUUGAGAGAGUAUCAAAUCAGGUUGCAGUAAAUAUGUAUAAGCAGCUCGGCUACAGUGUGUACCAGACAGUAUUGGAGCGUUACUCUGCUAGCAGUGGAGAGCCAGAUGAAGAUGCUUACAGUAAGUGGUUGUUGUGCCUUAAGUUGAAUGGAAAGGUUCUUGUGUUGAGGGUUCCUGGGCCUGUUUGUAUUUUUUUUAAAUAUGAAACAAGUUCAGAUAGCCAUUGAUGAAUGGGAUUCUGUAUACUGCUUUAGAUAGCUUUUCCUACUGAAAAGUACAUCAGUUAUGAAACUUAAUUGCAGGAAACAGAAUGAAUCUGUGUGAGGUGAAGUUCAGGUUGGAUGUUAGGAAAAUCUUAUCCACUGACAGGGCGUUCCAUCAGGGCACCAAACCUGUCAAGAGCUCAGGAAGCAUCUGGAUGAUGCUUUUAGUCAUAUGGUUUAGUUUUAGGUAGUCCUGCGAGAAGCAUGGAGUUGGACUUGGUGAUCCUUAUGGGUCACUUGCAACUCAAGAUAUUCUAGGAAUCUAGGAAAUCCUCUCAAAAAAUGAUCUUAAUGUAACAGAGAAGUCACUUAAUAUGGCUUUGUGCAAUGACUGUCUUCUAUAAUAGCAUUAUUUUCUUUUGCCAUAGAUAUGAGGAAAGCUCUUUCCAGAGAUAUAGAGAAGAAAUCAAUUAUACCUCUGCCUCAUCCUGUGAGACCAGAAGACACUGAGUAACUGAAAACUGAUUCUCAGACAACCUAGUAAGAGUGUUGGUUUCCUUCUCCCCAAAGCCCCCAAGAACUUACAGAUGACAAAUAUUAGGCUCAAUGUUUUUCACCAUGAAAUACCAAAAAGCAAUAUUGAGAAGCUUACCAGCGCUGCUUCUGUUGGUAUUGGCUGCAUAUUCGUGCUCUUACCCUAUUGUUCUUCCUUUCAAACCAUGACACUUUGGAGACUAUUAAAAUGGAAUUGCCUCCUGUA